rnacentral:rRNA from 1 species
UUUAUGGAGAGUUUGAUCCUGGCUCAGAGUGAACGCUGGCGGCGUGCCUAAUACAUGCAAGUCGAACGAUGAAGCUUUCUAGCUUGCUAGAAGGCCGAUUAGUGGCGCACGGGUGAGUAACGCAUAGGUCAUGUGCCUCUUAGUUUGGGAUAGCCAUUGGAAACGAUGAUUAAUACCAGAUACUCCCUACGGGGGAAAGAUUUAUCGCUAAGAGAUCAGCCUAUGUCCUAUCAGCUUGUUGGUAAGGUAAUGGCUUACCAAGGCUAUGACGGGUAUCCGGCCUGAGAGGGUGAACGGACACACUGGAACUGAGACACGGUCCAGACUCCUACGGGAGGCAGCAGUAGGGAAUAUUGCUCAAUGGGGGAAACCCUGAAGCAGCAACGCCGCGUGGAGGAUGAAGGUUUUAGGAUUGUAAACUCCUUUUGUUAGAGAAGAUAAUGACGGUAUCUAACGAAUAAGCACCGGCUAACUCCGUGCCAGCAGCCGCGGUAAUACGGAGGGUGCAAGCGUUACUCGGAAUCACUGGGCGUAAAGAGCGCGUAGGCGGGAUAGUCAGUCAGGUGUGAAAUCCUAUGGCUUAACCAUAGAACUGCAUUUGAAACUACUAUUCUAGAGUGUGGGAGAGGUAGGUGGAAUUCUUGGUGUAGGGGUAAAAUCCGUAGAGAUCAAGAGGAAUACUCAUUGCGAAGGCGACCUGCUGGAACAUUACUGACGCUGAUUGCGCGAAAGCGUGGGGAGCAAACAGGAUUAGAUACCCUGGUAGUCCACGCCCUAAACGAUGGAUGCUAGUUGUUGGAGGGCUUAGUCUCUCCAGUAAUGCAGCUAACGCAUUAAGCAUCCCGCCUGGGGAGUACGGUCGCAAGAUUAAAACUCAAAGGAAUAGACGGGGACCCGCACAAGCGGUGGAGCAUGUGGUUUAAUUCGAAGAUACACGAAGAACCUUACCUAGGCUUGACAUUGAGAGAAUCCGCUAGAAAUAGUGGAGUGUCUGGCUUGCCAGACCUUGAAAACAGGUGCUGCACGGCUGUCGUCAGCUCGUGUCGUGAGAUGUUGGGUUAAGUCCCGCAACGAGCGCAACCCCCUUUCUUAGUUGCUAACAGGUUAUGCUGAGAACUCUAAGGAUACUGCCUCCGUAAGGAGGAGGAAGGUGGGGACGACGUCAAGUCAUCAUGGCCCUUACGCCUAGGGCUACACACGUGCUACAAUGGGGUGCACAAAGAGAAGCAAUACUGCGAAGUGGAGCCAAUCUUCAAAACACCUCUCAGUUCGGAUUGUAGGCUGCAACUCGCCUGCAUGAAGCUGGAAUCGCUAGUAAUCGCAAAUCAGCCAUGUUGCGGUGAAUACGUUCCCGGGUCUUGUACUCACCGCCCGUCACACCAUGGGAGUUGUGUUUGCCUUAAGUCAGGAUGCUAAAUUGGCUACUGCCCACGGCACACACAGCGACUGGGGUGAAGUCGUAACAAGGUAACCGUAGGUGAACCUGCGGUUGGAUCACCUCCUUU